UGCCAAACAAGGGUCAAAGGUCAAUUUUGAGCUCAAGAUUUUUUUGCAUACAAACAUUUCUUCAUUAUAGCAACUCGUUGUCAAAUUUUGGGAGUCCUACCUAUAAUACUUUUGUCUGGACAAAACAGAAACUUUAAAGUCAUUUUUCUCAGUUUCACACUCUAGCGAGUUAAGGUCUUUUGCCUUUGUAGGGCAGAAGUGUAGUGAGCAAGA